rnacentral:lncRNA from 1 species
CCAAAGUGGAGCGCACAAACUUAACUGCUGUGCCACAGGGCCAGCCCCCUGGGUUUUUUCCAUCUUUAUACACCUGAAACUUAAUUCUUAUAGACUUUUCUCACAGAGGCCUUUAUUUCAAAUCCCCCUUUCUAGUUAGGGCGGUUGUUAAAACUGACCAAGAAGAUUUCAAGAAAAGGCACCAUCCAAAAUUGGGAUUUUUGAAAAGCACCUGGAAUGGAAAGUUGAAUGGGACUGGGAGGCCUGUGCCACACUUGACAACAAGAGUGUUAGGAACCCUCCUUCUAAAGAAAGGCCAGCCGCAGGCUCAGAUUUAAUAACAGACUUCAAAAGGGGCCCUGCUGGCUCCCCCCAACCUUCACCCCAGCUCCCCUCUGCAGCAGAAGCAGAGAACUGGGGGGAGGGAGGAGAAAGAGGACAAGUUUUUGCCAGUGCAGAGCUCACAGGGAGAGGCUGCUUCCUCCCCAAAUCUGGGUGGAGAGGUGGACGUGCUGUAAGAUUGAGUGGAGCCAUGUGUGGUGACUGGAAAAGUUCUUGUGGGACCCGACUUGUGUGUCUGGAGUUUGGAGGCACCCAUGAACUUUGAGGCCCAAACUUGGAGGUUUCCGAAGGCAGAAGGCUGGGGGAAGCAGCCUGGGCAGAGGAGCGAGGUGGCUGUCCAGUAGUUGCUUGGCAAUAAGCUGACUAGGCAAGUGAGGUAAUACCCACCCAGAGAGGAGGUUAAAGGCACAGACCAAUGCUGGCCGAGAGGCGAUGUGGCUGCCCUAAGGGGGCCUCAGGACAGGAGUGUGGCUGGACAUGACCCAGAGAAAAUCUGCCCCCCAUUUAUGCUGAAACCUGCACACCAGCCGAAAUUUCCAGUAUCAUAGGGACCCUGACUGAGCCAAGGCAAGACAAACGACACCUCCCCAGCACAGAGAGGUGACCAGUCAUGUUCCAUGGCCCUGAUCCCCAUCCCUCCUCUUUCUCCGCCUUCCAACCUAGAGCAACUUGACCCAUGAAAAUGAAGAACGAGAGGGCAGACCACACACACUGUUCUACUUCACGUGCCUAGCUGACACCUGACUUCCCCAGGGAGAGAGGGAAGGCGGGGAGAAUGGCCUCACCCUGCCUGCCUGGCUGCCGGGGCGCUGUGAGGAGCGAAUGAGGUGAGGCGGUGCAAGCCCCGUUGGAGGUUCCACAUCCCCUGCGGUUUUGGUGAUUCUAUCAGGCAAUGUAGCAGAGAGCAUCCUGCCCGAAGCUCCAGCUGCCCCCAAACACUGCGUCCGAGGGACGCCCUCAGCAGAGAAUAGGACAGCAGCCACAGUGCCAGGAUGAGCCGGGCAGAAGCAGG